GCCAGGUGUGGUGGUGUAUGCCUGUAAUCCCAGCAGCUCAGGAGGCUGAGGCAGGAGGAUCACAGGUUCAAAGCAGCCUCAGCAAGGGCAAGGUGCUAAGCAACUCAGUGAGAUCCUGUCUCUA
rnacentral:sRNA from 1 species